rnacentral:rRNA from 1 species
AUUGAACGCUGGCGGCAGGCCUAACACAUGCAAGUCGAGCGAGCGGCGGACGGGUGAGUAAUGUAUGGGGAUCUGCGCGUUAGAGGGGGAUAACUACUGGAAACGGUAGCUAAUAUCGCAUACUAUCGGAUGAACCCCUAUGGGAUUAGCUAGUAGGUGAGGUAAAGGCGCACCUAGGCGACGAUCCCUAGCUGGUCGGAGAGGGUGAUCAGCCACACUGGAACGGAGACAAGGUCAAGCCUCCUGCGGGAGGAGGCAGUGGGGAAGUGUGCACAAGGGGCGCAAGCCUGAGGCAGCCAUGCCGCGUGUAUGAAGAAGGCCUUCGGGUUGUAAAGUACUUUCAGCGGGGAGGCGUUACCAGCAGAAUAAGCACCGGCUAACUCCGUGCCAGCAGCCGCGGUAAUAC